GACGAACGCUGGCGGCGUGCUUAACACAUGCAAGUCGAGCGAUGAAGUUUUUUCGGAAAUGGAUUAGCGGCGAACGGGUGAGGAACACGUGAAGAAUCUGCCCUCCACUUUGGGAUAACACAGGGAAACCUGUGCUAAUACCGAAUAUUGAAACAUAAGUGGCAUCACUGAGUUUUGAAAGAAUUUCGGGGGAGGAUGACUUCGCGGCCUAUCAGCUAGUUGGUGAGGUAAUGGCUCACCAAGGCAACGACGGGUAGCCGGCCUGAGAGGGCGACCGGCCACACUGGGACUGAGACACGGCCCAGACUCCUACGGGAGGCAGCAGUGGGGAAUAUUGGGCAAUGGAGGAAACUCUGACCCAGCGGCGCCGCGUGCGGGAUGAAGGCCUUCGGGUUGUAAACCGCUUUCAGUAGGGAAGAUGCGAAAGUGACGGUACCUACAAAAGAAGCACCGGCUAACUAUGUGCCAGCCGCCGCCGUAA
rnacentral:rRNA from 1 species